ACUCCUACGGGAGGCAGCAGUAGGGAAGUCUUCCGACAAUGGGCGAAAGCCUGAUGGAGCAAUGCCGCGUGAGUGAAGAAGGUUUUCGGAAUCGUAAAACUCUGUUGUUGAAGAAGAACAUGCGUGAGAGUAACUGUUCACGUACUGACGGUAUUCAACCAGAAAGCCACGGCUAACUACGUGCCAGCAGCCGCGGUAAUACGUAGGUGGCAAGCGUUGUCCGGAUUUAUUGGGCGUAAAGAGAAUGUAGGCGGUUUAUUAAGUUUGAAGUGAAAGCCCUCGGCUCAACCGAGGAAGUGCUUCGAAAACUGGUAAACUUGAGUGCAGAAGAGGAAAGUGGAACUCCAUGUGUAGCGGUGGAAUGCGUAGAUAUAUGGAAGAACACCAGUGGCGAAGGCGGCUUUCUGGUCUGUAACUGACGCUGAGAUUCGAAAGCAU
rnacentral:rRNA from 1 species